AAGGGAGACCUAAUUCAGGUAGGAGACGAAAAAAAAGUAGUCCCAACCAAGAAUCAAUCCCAAAAGGUCGGAGCGAGGCGAAAUUGGCUUUCAAACUAGGUUCUGGGUUCACAUAAGACCUGAAUCAGGAACAAGGGCUAUUAGCUCAGGUGGUUAGAGCGCACCCCUGAUAAGGGUGAGGUCCCUGGUUCGAGUCCAGGAUGGCCCACCUGCACAGGUGGCAAAAACAAAGAAAAAAAGCUCCGAAUCAGCACCUUAUCUUACUUAUACAGUAAGAGAGAAUGCUGGCUCUGAGUUCAGAGUCCAGAGGAACCUUGAAAACUGCAUAGAGCUAGGUGAAAAAGCCAAAAAAGAAGACCGCAAGGUCAAGCUAAUAAGGGCUAACGGUGGAUACCUAGGCAC
rnacentral:tRNA from 1 species